AUUGAACGCUGGCGGCAGGCUUAACACAUGCAAGUCGAGCGGAGAUGAGGUGCUUGCACCUUAUCUUAGCGGCGGACGGGUGAGUAAUGCUUAGGAAUCUGCCUAUUAGUGGGGGACAACAUUCCGAAAGGAAUGCUAAUACCGCAUACGUCCUACGGGAGAAAGCAGGGGAUCUUCGGACCUUGCGCUAAUAGAUGAGCCUAAGUCGGAUUAGCCAGUUGGUGGGGAAAGGCCUACCAAGGCGACGAUCUGUAGCGGGUCUGAGAGGAUGAUCCGCCACACUGGGACUGAGACACGGCCCAGACUCCUGCGGGAGGCAGCAGUGGGGAAUAUUGGACAAUGGGGGGAACCCUGAUCCAGCCAUGCCGCAUGUGUGAAGAAGGCCUUAUGGUUGUAAAGCACUUUAAGCGAGGAGGAGGCUACUGAGACUAAUACUCUUGGGUAGUGGACGUUACUCGCAGAAUAAGCACCGGCUAACUCUGUGCCAGCCGCCGCGGUAAGAC
rnacentral:rRNA from 1 species